GAAUCUUCCACAAUGGACGAAAGUCUGAUGGAGCAAUGCCGCGUGAGUGAAGAAGGUUUGCGGAUCGUAAAACUCUGUUGUGAGGGAAGAACAAGUACGAGAGUAACUGCUCGUACCUUGACGGUACCUCAUUAGCAAGCCACGGCUAACCACGUUCCCGCCGCCGCGGUAAUACGUAGGUGGCAAUCGUUGUCCGGAAUUAUUGGGCAUAAAGCGCGCGCAGGCGGUCCUUUAAGUCUGAUGUGAAAUCCCACGGCUCAACCGUGGAAGGUCAUUGGAAACUGGGGGACUUGAGUACAGAAGAGGAAAGCGGAAUUCCAAGUGUAGCGGUGAAAUGCGUAGAGAUUUGGAGGAACACCAGUGGCGAAGGCGGCUUUCUGGUCUGUAACUGACGCUGAGGCGCGAAAGCGUGGGGAGCAAACAG
rnacentral:rRNA from 1 species